rnacentral:rRNA from 1 species
UACGUAGGCAGCAAGCGUUGUUCGGAGUUACUGGGCGUAAAGGGUGUGUAGGCGGUUCUUUUAAGUUUGCUGUGAAAUCUCCCGGCUUAACCGGGAGGGUGCGGUGAAUACUGAGGGACUAGAGUACGGGAGAGGAAAGUGGAAUUCCUGGUGUAGCGGUGAAAUGCGUAGAUAUCUGGAGGAACACCGGUGGCGAAGGCGGCAUUCUGGACUAUUUCUGACACUGAUGAACGAAAGCCAGGGGAGCAAACGGG